rnacentral:rRNA from 1 species
AGAGUUUGAUCCUGGCUCAGGAUGAACGCUGGCGGUAUGCCUAACACAUGCAAGUCGAACGAAUCCUUUCGGGGAUGAGUGGCGGACGGGUGAGUAACGCGUGAGAAUCUGCCUUUUGGUCGGGGACAACCACUGGAAACGGUGGCUAAUACCGGAUGUGCCUUUAGGGGUGAAAGAUUAAUUGCCAGAAGAGGAGCUCGCGUCUGAUUAGCUAGUUGGUGAGGUAAGAGCUCACCAAGGCAUCGAUCAGUAGCUGGUCUGAGAGGAUGAUCAGCCACACUGGGACUGAGACACGGCCCAGACUCCUACGGGAGGCAGCAGUGGGGAAUUUUCCGCAAUGGGCGAAAGCCUGACGGAGCAAGACCGCGUGAGGGAGGAAGGCUCUUGGGUUGUAAACCUCUUUUGUCAGGGAAGAACACAAUGACGGUACCUGAAGAAUCAGCAUCGGCUAACUCCGUGCCAGCAGCCGCGGUAAUACGGGGGAUGCAAGCGUUAUCCGGAAUUAUUGGGCGUAAAGCGUCCGCAGGUGGCUAAUCAAGUCUGCUGUCAAAGGUUGGGGCUUAACCCCAAAAAGGCAGUGGAAACUGAGAAGCUAGAGUGCAGUAGGGGUAGAGGGAAUUCCCGGUGUAGCGGUGAAAUGCGUAGAGAUCGGGAAGAACAUCGGUGGCGAAAGCGCUCUACUGGACUGCAACUGACACUCAGGGACGAAAGCUAGGGGAGCGAAUGGGAUUAGAUACCCCAGUAGUCC